GUACUCACUUCGGCAGCACAUAUACUAAAACUGGAACAAUACAGAGAAGAUUAGCAUGGCCACUGCGCAAAGAUGAUACACAAAUUCGUGAAGCGUUCCAUAUUUUU
rnacentral:snRNA from 1 species